rnacentral:rRNA from 1 species
CCUACGGGUGGCAGCAGUGGGGAAUAUUGCACAAUGGGGGAAACCCUGAUGCAGCGACGCCGCGUGAGUGAAGAAGUAAUUCGUUAUGUAAAGCUCUAUCAGCAGGGAAGAAAAUGACGGUACCUGAGUACGAAGCCCCGGCUAACUACGUGCCAGCAGCCGCGGUAAUACGUAGGGGGCAAGCGUUAUCCGGAUUUACUGGGUGUAAAGGGAGCGUAGACGGCAGUGCAAGUCUGGUGGCUCAACCAUUCAGACUAUUAGCUAAACUGUUAAGCUCGAGACCGUUAGGGGUAACUGGAAUUUCUAGUGUAGGAGUGAAAUCCGUAGAUAUUAGAAGGAACACCAAUAGCGUAGGCAGGUUGCUGGGACGGGUCUGACACUAAGGCACGAAAGCGUAGGGAGCAAACGGGAUUAGAUACCCCAGUAGUC